GACGAACGCUGGCGGCGUGCCUAAUACAUGCAAGUAGAACGCUGAAGGAGGAGCUUGCUUCUCCGGAUGAGUUGCGAACGGGUGAGUAACGCGUAGGUAACCUGCCUGGUAGCGGGGGAUAACUAUUGGAAACGAUAGCUAAUACCGCAUAAGAGUAGAUGUCGCAUGACAUUUUCUUAAAAGGUGCAACUGCACCACUACCAGAUGGACCUGCGUUGUAUUAGCUAGUUGGUGAGGUAACGGCUCACCAAGGCAACGAUACAUAGCCGACCUGAGAGGGUGAUCGGCCACACUGGGACUGAGACACGGCCCAGACUCCUACGGGAGGCAGCAGUAGGGAAUCUUCGGCAAUGGACGGAAGUCUGACCGAGCAACGCCGCGUGAGUGAAGAAGGUUUUCGGAUCGUAAAGCUCUGUUGUAAGAGAAGAACGAGUGUGAGAGUGGAAAGUUCACACUGUGACGGUAUCUUACCAGAAAGGGACGGCUAACUACGUG
rnacentral:rRNA from 1 species